UAGGGAAUCUUCGGCAAUGGGGGGAACCCUGACCGAGCAACGCCGCGUGAGUGAAGAAGGUUUUCGGAUCGUAUAGCCCUGUUGUUAAGGAAGAACGAGUGUGAGAAUGGAAAGUUCAUACUGUGACGGUACUUAACCAGAAAGGGACGGCUAACUACGUGCCAGCAGCCGCGGUAAUACGUAGGUCCCGAGCGUUGUCCGGAUUUAUUGGGCGUAAAGCGAGCGCAGGCGGUUAGAUAAGUCUGAAGUUAAAGGCAGUGGCUCAACCAUUGUAGGCUUUGGAAACUGUUUAACUUGAGUGCAGAAUGGGAGAGUGGAAUUCCAUGUGUAGCGGUGAAAUGCGUAGAUAUAUGGAGGAACACCGGUGGCGAAAGCGGCUCUCUGGUCUGUAACUGACGCAGAGGCUCGAAAGCGUGGGGAGCGAACAGG
rnacentral:rRNA from 1 species